rnacentral:misc_RNA from 1 species
AGUCCUAUGCCAGAGUA